rnacentral:rRNA from 1 species
UGAGGAACAUGACCUUCGGCGGGGGGAUUGCCGGCCCAACGGCCGGGUAAUACCGCGUACGACCACAUGGGGACAUCCCUGAGUGGUGAAAGCAGCAAUGCGCCGAUGGAGUGCCUCGCGGCCUAUCAGCUAGUUGGUGAGGUAACGGCUCACCAAGGCGACGACGGGUAGCUGGUCUGAGAGGAUGGCCAGCCACAUUGGGACUGAGACACGGCCCAGACCUCUACCGGGA